UACGAAGGGGGCUAGCGUUGUUCGGAAUUACUGGGCGUAAAGGGCGCGUAGGCGGCGUGUCAAGUCAGGCGUGAAAGCCCCGGGCUCAACCUGGGAACCGCGCUUGAGACUGGCAUGCUCGAGUUCGGGAGAGGAUGGUGGAAUUCCCAGUGUAGAGGUGAAAUUCGUAGAUAUUGAGAAGAACACCGAUGGCGAAGGCAGCCAUCUGGACCGACACUGACGCUGAGGCGCGAAAGCGUGGGGAGCAAACAGG
rnacentral:rRNA from 1 species